rnacentral:rRNA from 1 species
AGCUCCAAUAGCGUAUAUUAAAGUUGUUGCAGUUAAAAAGCUCGUAGUUGGAUUUGUGGCGUACGAUGUGUUCCCGGCACUUGUUGUCGGUGGUACUUGUCGUUGCCAUCCUUGGGUGGAAUCUGUGUGGCAUUAGGUUGUCGUGCAGGGGAUGCCCAUCUUUUACUGUGAAAAAAUUAGAGUGUUCAAAGCAGGCUUACGCCGUUGAAUAUAUUAGCAUGGAAUAAUGAGAUAGGACCUUGGUACUAUUUUGUUGGUUUGCGCACCGAGGUAAUGAUUAAUAGGGACAGUUGGGGGUAUUCGUAUUCCAUUGUCAGAGGUGAAAUUCUUGGAUUUUUGGAAGACGAACUACUGCGAAAGCAUUUACCAAGGAUGUUUUCAUUAAUCAAGAACGAAAGUA